rnacentral:rRNA from 1 species
CAGCCGCCGCGGGAAUACGGAGGGGGCUGGCGUUGUUCGGAAUUACUGGGCGUAAAGCGCACGUAGGCGGCUUGGUAAGUUAGAGGUGAAAGCCUGGAGCUCAACUCCAGAAUUGCCUUUAAGACUGCCGAGCUAGCAGGUGAGAGAGGUAAGUGGAAUUCCGAGUGUAGAGGUGAAAUUCGUAGAUAUUCGGAAGAACACCAGUGGCGAAGGCGGCUUACUGGCUCAUACUGGACGCUGAGGUGCGAAAGCGUGGGGAGCAAACAGGAUUAGAUACCCCAGUAGUCCCUGUCUCUUAUAC